rnacentral:rRNA from 1 species
UACGUAGGCAGCGAGCGUUGUUCGGAGUUACUGGGCGUAAAGGGUGUGUAGGCGGUUGUUUAAGUUUGGUGUGAAAUCUCCCGGCUCAACUGGGAGGGUGCGCCGAAUACUGAGCGACUAGAGUGCGGGAGAGGAAAGUGGAAUUCCUGGUGUAGCAGUGAAAUGCGUAGAUAUCAGGAGGAACACCGGUGGUGUAGACGGCUUUCUGGACCGUAACUGACGCUGAGACACGAAAGCGUGGGUAGCAAACAGG